rnacentral:rRNA from 1 species
GAUGAACGCUGGCGGCGUGCUUAACACAUGCAAGUCGAACGAGAAGUGAAGACGGAAACCUUCGGGCGGAAGGCUUUAUUUCGAGUGGCGGACGGGUGAGUAACGCGUGGGUAACCUGCCUCAUACAGGGGGAUAACAGUUGGAAACGACUGUUAAUACCGCAUAAGACCACAGCACCGCAUGGUGCGGGGGUAAAAACUCCGGUGGUAUGAGAUGGACCCGCGUUCGAUUAGCCAGUUGGCGGGGUAACGGCCCACCAAAGCGACGAUCGAUAGCCGAUCUGAGAGGGUGACCGGCCAAAUUGGAACGGAGCCCCGGCCCAAACCCCAACGGGAGGCAGCAGGGGGAAAAAUUGCCAAAGGGGGGAAACCCUGAUGCAGCGACGCCGGGGGAGAGAAGAAGUUUUUCGGUAUGUAAAGCUCUUUCCGCAGGGAAAAAAAGGGCGGUACCUGAAGAAGAAGCCCCGGCAAACUAAGU